CUGGUUCUUGGAGGAAGUAACUUUUCUUUUUUACCAUAAGAUGACUGGGAUUUUCCCCUCAAAUAGGAAGCACAUCAGAGUAUGAAUUGCCAAAAAUCUUCAUAAAACUGUGGCAUCCUUUCUGACAUUUCUUUGUCAUUUUCCCUGAGCUUCCUUAAGCAACACAUGUUAAAGAUUUAAAGGCAUCCAAGCAAUAAACAGGUUGGGGGAGAAAAAGGCACAAUUCUCCUGCUCAGAGGUAACCUACCCUUCUGUUGACAUGUGAGCUUUUCCCAUCAGUAAGAUGAAAGAUUUGAAUUUGAUGAGAUCUAAAGUUAGUUUCCUUGCCCAUAAUUUCUUACCUUUAAACUUUAUAUAACCAUCUUCAGCACAUCUCUUGAGUAAACUUUUCCCUAGAGUUUUAGUCCCUCGUUGUGGAAAAGACCAAGCUGAGAUUUUGUUCUACGUUCUAAUUUAAUCUACAUCCAUGCAUAGCACACAGAGGUAUAGAUACUUUUUCAGUGGUCUGCCACCUUAAAUCUUCUUGGUGGAGCACAUGACUGUGUUAUAUGUCCGCUCCUCUGCCUCUGAUGAAUAAUGGAUUUUGAUAUUCUAUUAAUACUUUCUCAGACUUGUCCUUAAAAAAAUAUACUGGACUCUACAAGUGGGUUGUGUGUUUAGGAUCCCAUUCUAGGAUAAAACCCAUAUUCCUUUUCAGACUUCUAUCGACACUCUUGCCCUCCUUGGUCUUAAAAUGGUGCUAAAGGU